AGAGCAACUGGGUCUGAAGCAGUCGGUGACAGCAGUGUGUAUGUGGGAGAUGCUAAAGGGGUUUUCAGAUGGAGUUUGACUAGCUUAGAAAGGAGAUUUUGUGUGUAGCAGUAGUAUGGGCCCAAGGUAGUGCUCACAUUUAGCUUCUGUCAGGGUUUUACGUUUCAUGCCCUCGAAUGUGCCAGCCCAGUUCCCCUUCAAUCUGCUUGAAACGCACCUGCAGAAAUCCUGCACUCUUUCUAGGUUCCUGCCAACGUUUGACCCUUGCGGGUGACUUCUCCUCUUCUGCGUCAGAUGUAAGCUGCUUUCCCACACCUUGGCCGGCUGCGGCCACGUGCCGAGCUGUCCCCUCCCUCCUUGCUUCCUUGGCCGCUCCUUCGGCAGCCCUCUGCUCUGGCCCAGGUGCUUUGGGAAUCMGCAGGUUUGGAUGUCUGAAAAUGUAGUCUCUGCGUCAAACAUGGAUACGACUUUUAUGCAGUCUGAUUUGGGGGAUGAGUCAUUGUAGCUCUCUAUUGCUAUUGUACUUCUGACCUUCUGCCUUAUAAAUUCCAAUAAUUCUCUUUUAUUCACUUUCAGCAUUGUACUUAGUGAUCAGCAAUGUAGCCCACAUAACACGUUCCUCUGAUGUGAAAAUUCCAAUGCAUAGAAAUUCUAGGGUAUAUUUUCAGGUGACUUUCCUUCACUUAGUACUGAAAGUGUAUAAAUAAAGAAUAUAUCAUAUGUUUACA
rnacentral:lncRNA from 1 species